UCCCUGGUGGUCCAGUGGUCAAGACUCUGUGCUCCCAAGGCAGAGGGCCUGGGUUUGAUACCUGGUAAGGGAA
rnacentral:tRNA from 1 species